rnacentral:tRNA from 1 species
AAGGUGUACUUGGAUAAAUCAGAACGUAGCUAAACAUAGAUAUAGCAUCUCUCUAAC